AUACGGAGGAUCCGAGCGUUAUCCGGAUUUAUUGGGUUUAAAGGGUGCUCAGGCGGGACAUUAAGUCGGCGGUGAAAUUUUGCGGCUCAACCGUAAAAGUGCCUUCGAAACUGGUAUCCUUGAGUGUGGAUGAGGUAGGCGGAAUUUGUGGUGUAGCGGUGAAAUGCAUAGAUAUCACGAGGAACUCCGAUUGCGCAGGCAGCUUACUAAGCCAUAACUGACGCUCAAGCACGAAGGCGUGGGGAUCAAACAGGAUUAGAUACCCUGGUAGUCCACGCAGUAAACGAUGAUUACUGGCUGUUUGCGAUACAAUGUAAGCGGCUGAGCGAAAGCGUUAAGUAAUCCACCUGGGGAGUACGUUCGCAAGAAUGAAACUCAAAUGAAUUGACGGGG
rnacentral:rRNA from 1 species